GCUGUGGUAGUGUAGUGGCUAUCACACCCUGAGUCUUUGGCGCACACGUGUCCAGCGUGGCAAAAAUAAUGACUUCCAGGAAGAUCGCAGGUUCGAGUCCUGCCCACGGUU
rnacentral:tRNA from 1 species